CUCUGAGCGAUUGCGAAGGACGAAGAUGAGCCUCAAGCUGUCACUUGCUGCCUGGAGUUCGUUCGGAAAGUUGGAAAAGCCUAGUUCUAAUUAGGAAAUCUAUCCAGCUGUGUAUUUACUUUUGUUUUUAGGGUCUGAAGCUCAGGAAGGCUUAAGGAAACAAGAUCACACAGCUGGGGCUGCCACCAAGAAGGUUGAAGAGCACCUCUAGUUCUAGCACUCAGGAAACAGAAACAGGUGGAUACCUGUCAAUUCCAGGUCUUCCUGGUCUACUUAGUGAGCUCCAGGAUAGCCAAGGACCUGUCUCAGAGAAAGCAAAACAAAACAAAACAAUACAAAACAAUUCUCACAGGUACGCCCAGCUGCUUGGGUUCGAAUUGAUUUCAGAUAUAGUCAAGUUGACCUCAAGAUUAUCCAUCAACCAAUCUUUAAUGUAUUCAUUCAGUGGAUCUUUUUAAGCCUGUGUCAGGCAUUGAGUUAAGUGCUAGAGAAAUGGGGGGAGGGGAGGAAACAACAACACAAAAACAGGACAACUGUGUUUUCUGCCUUCAUGAAACUUACUGAAAGGAGAGAAACAGCAUUGAACAGCUAAGUGCAUAGAAAGGUGCUUUGACAAGACUGUGACAAGUCCUAAAAAUGCCAUCUAGAGAGGACUGGGGUGGCGAGAACGAAUAAGGGGUCUUAGUCUGGACUGAAGUUGAAAGAAUAGAUCCUGAGGAAAGAGACAUUACAUAAGGUCCGCAAGGGUCAUAGAAAGUACACCACUUGGGAGGCAGAGGCAGGUGUGUCUCUGAGCUGGAGGAAGAAAAGGAGGGAAGCAUUUCUAGCAGAAAUCCUAAAACUUUAGAGACUCAUGUGUAGGCCCCAAAGAGAACAAUCGAUACUGGAUAAGGAAGUGCCAUCCUCUGGAUGCAAAGACAGGCCACUUAUGCACAACCUGGAGAGCCCUGCCCAAGAGGUAAGGGCUAAAACAGCAGCAAAGCACUUAAGUCCUGCUUUUAUCUUUCCUCCUUUAAGCCGCCCACGCUGGGUUAUUCGAUCACUGCGAUGGAGAAGCAAGCACUACAUCUCUGGACCCCCAUGCAAUUGGGUCAUCAGCUAUGUGAUGUUACCUCAGACCCCAAAAGUUAAGGUCAAGGUUCCUUUAAAAGAAAAACAACAACAACAACAACACCCCUAAAGAUUCAGGACUGGAGAGAUGAUGGCUCAGUGGUUGAAAGCAUUCACUGCUCUUGCCGAGGAGCUGAGUUCAAUUCCUAGCACCCACAUGUCAGCUCACAACUAUCUGUGACUCCAGUUACCAGGGCUCUAACACCCUCUUCUGACCUCCACAGUCACCAGGCAUGUAUAUGGUGCGCAUAAAUACAUGCAGGCAAACACCCACACGCAGGAAAUCAAUCUAACAACAAACCUGAAGAUGUCCUCUCCCUAGGUGCCAUCCAUAAGCUCAGUAGUCCCCAGACUGCCUUGGCCCCUGUUCAACCAGGGACAAGUUCUGGUUUAACAAUUUGUUAGAAUGACUUGCAGAACUCAAGGAAGCAACAUGUUCAUUGUAAGGGAUAUACAAUCUGGUCCUUAUCCCAUAGGAUCAGGACAUAAGACCCUGUGGUGAUCGCUCUGUAAGUUUUAGGCAAACAGGAGAAGAUAGUCUUCCAGGGAGCUAUGAGGAGAGUCUUAAAACCCACCCCCACAGUGACAUGCUUCCUUCAACAGGGCCACACUUCCUAACAGUGCCACUCCCUGGCCAAGCAUAUUCAAACCACCACACUAUUAAUCAUCUAAUCUAUCUACCUUUCCCCCCACCUUUGGUUUUUUGAGACAGAGUUGGAUCUGGCUGUUCUGGAAUUUGCUCUGUAGAUCAGGUUGGUUUCAAACUCAGAAAUUUGCCUACCUCUGCUUCUCCUGUUUGCCUUUGGGAUGGGACAAGAGGUAGAACUGUCAGCCCCUCUGGUGUGCCAUGCCUGCUUGGAUGUUCUCAUGCUUUCUUCCAUGAUGAUAAUGAACUGAACCUCAGAACCUAUAAGCCAGCCUCAAUUAAAUGUUGUCCUUUAUAAGAGUUGUCUUGGUCAUGGUGUCUCUUCUCAGCAAAGGAAACCCUAAGACAGACAGACAGACAGACAGACAGACAGACAAGCAGGUAGGCAGGCAGGCAGGCAAACAGAAAAAAAAACAAAUGACUCCCUCUAUCCCCAAAAUUAUUCUUAGUACUAGACACCUAGAGUCUCCAUUAGAAGAAAACACUAAAAGAUGGAUUGUUGGGAAUUAAGGCAGGCAAAGAGAUUCCGAUUCCUGAUUUCCAGACCUUUGUAUUCUACUGUUAGGGAAAUAGCUCCAUUAGAGGUCAUUCAUUCAAAAGGCACAUGGUGCUCUAAAGGGUAGCAUGCCAUCUUUGUAAGGUGUUCCCUCCAGCUGGUGACUCUAAAGUGGCUCUUGGUACUACAAUAUAUGAUAUAACAGCUGUCCUGGGUUCAUGUGUUUGUUCCUAAUAUAAUAAUUCAAUAAAUCUGAUGGGGGCUGGCUGAUGUAAUGGGAUGGUACAUGACUUUUUAGCAUCAUCUGUGUAAUGGAUGCCUUCUAAUAGGUAUGAACAUGGGAAAUAAAGAUUUUUACACUAUGCCCACUUCUAUGUGUUUUGUUUU
ensembl:lncRNA